GAGCUCCCACGGCUGGGCCUUCCUCCUCUCCGAGGGCUGGCCCCCACUUCCAGGGCCUCCCUCAGAGGGGCCGUGGUCACCCAGUCAAGCCCAGCUCAGCCCUGUUCUUUGGGAGAUCCCAGGCUUCUCGGGAAAUGGUAUCCAAGCCCUAAAAAUCCCCAAGUGACCGAUUCUGAACAACACGUCUGGGGUGCACGGGCCGAUGCGACAUCUCACGGAUGAUGUCAUCUGGGACCUCGCUGUGACCAAAGGGCGCUCAUGACUCGGAGUGUCAGAGCCAUAUUCACUCAUCUCUGGUGAAACCUGUGUCCUUUCAAGCCCUGUCCCUUGGCAGCUGUUUCACAGCGAGACCGUGGAAGGUGGAAGUUAGAGGGACCCACGCUGGGGCCACGCUGCCAGAUUCCAAAUCCUGUCUGGAAUAGCCAGGUGACCUCAGCAUGUUACUCAACGUCUUCUUUUUAUUCUUCACUUAUAAAACGGGCACAAUACCGGACUUGCUUCAUAGAGCUGCUAAAAAAUUGAGAAGAAUUCAGCAAAGAGACCAAGAUGGUGAAAAGAUAAAGGUGUUUAUGAAAAGAAGCAGAAUACAUGUAAAAGAACACGCAGCUGAACUCAGAAUAAGAUCACAUUCUAGGACUCUGGGAAGAGCGUGAAUUUGGGGACAGGAUGCUCUACAACCCAGUACACUCUUCUUACCUAAAGAUGGGAAGAUUCCUAAGGCCAUCACAGAUCCAGGUGCUAACAAUUUCUGAUAAUCCCUAAGCGGAGCCACCCAGAUAACCUGCCCUUGCGUUUCUGAUGGACAGCCUGGAGCUGGAGACUUGGGAGUCAGCUUUGCCAGUAACUCCACUGUGACUUUGGCAAGCCAGUUAGUUAAACACCUUCCAUCCGGUGACUCACUCUGCUGCCCGCUCAAGAAUGAGCAGCAUCUGAAAGAAGCAGGCCAGUGUGCGAAGUGGAACCCAGGGCCCGGCAGGUGAUCUGUGUGCACGUUAAAGUGUGGAAGCGCUGGACUAAAGGAUAGUGAGUCUCCCAGAGUUCCAGGACAGCAUGAUGGCUCAUCUGCGAUGCAAACCCAGGCUCCAAGCCUCCCAGAGAAGUGCUUUUCUGACAGCGUUGCUACACUCUCUGCACUUUAGCUGAGCUAAAGUAGGCACAUACAUCCUCUUGGUCAGCUCCCAUCCCUUGAGUGAUGGGGGAGCAAAGGAAACAAACCGCUGUGCCAAAGGAGGAAUUUGUGUUGAUCCUGAGAACAAAGACAAAGAUGGGGACAGAAAUUAGGAGGAGAAAAGAGGAGGAGAGUGGCAGAGCCUUGGAGGAAGAGGUACAGUAAUGUUUGUAAAUUCUUGGUGGGAAUGGAUUGCUUUGGGGGGAUUGUUUUGUUUUUGGUAGACAGUGUGAAUGGGCUGUGUUUUACACAAAGUGGAGUCUUGUAAUGACACCGUGAAGUUGGGAACUGGCUGGUGCCAGAGUGUCGUGAGGUCUCAGCGGGCCCUGGAACUGCAUAGUGACUGUCUGGACCAGCUUAUUUCCUAUUCUUGGAAUCCUUAGGACCUCGCAUAAUAUAGCCAAAAUGUUUCUUGUAUGAAUGAAUGAGAGCAUGAAGAAAUCCGUAAGUAUUAUCCUAUCCAACUCCCUCAUUUUUUCCCUGUUUGUUGUAGAUUGGCUUUAAAAAAAUUUAUCAUAAGAUACAUUAAAUAUUAUAACAUGAAAAUACAGAUAUGCAAUUAAAAAAAUAAUAAAAUGAAUACCAAUAUAGUCACCAUCCAGGUGGAGAAACAGAACAUCAAAGGUUUUAUACUUAUUUUUUACUUUUUUUUGGCUGUGCCUCCAGCAUGCACAAUCUUAGUUCCCUGACCAGGGAUAGAACCCAGGCCCCUUGCAGUGGAAACGUGGAGUCUGAACCACUGAACCACCAGGAAAGUCUGUACAUCUUUAAACAAUCUGGAAAUGUUUUCUUUUGUAAGGUUUGAGGUAGGAGGCUAAGUAAUUUUUUCAUAUAGAUAAUCAAUUUUGACUCAAGAUUUGUUGAAAAAGUGUUCCUUUUCUUACUAAGCUGCAGUGCCAACUUGUUCUUAAAAAAAUUCUGUCUAUGAAUAGGUUUGCUUCUGGGUUCUGUCUUUGGUUCUUUCAUCUACCUAUUAUUUUGAGUGUAAAGCUAUGUGAUCUAAUUACCAAAGCUUUAUAAUAGUUACUCAUAUCUGACAUGAUGAUACCCCAUAUUCUUCUUCUUUAGCAGUGUCUUGGCUGUUUAUAGGCAUUUGUAUUUCUAAAUAAAUUUUAGAACUAGUUUGUUGAUCACAAAAAAGUAUUGUGAGAAUUUUUUUAUAGUUAUAUGGAACC